AACAAAGAAAAACAUACCCCGCCCGCACAGUAAGGUUGGAACUUUAGAAGCCUAAAGUUGAGUCAGGGUUCGGCUCAGGUGGUGAUCGGGAGUGGCAAACCGGCUAGUUGUGGAGGCAAGCAGCCAAUUGCAGAUUAGUUCAAUGGACUCUCUUAAUCCAACUAGUUGGUGAUUGUUGGAGCUAAGAACUGAAGACUAUGUGUAGCAGUGAACUAUUUUAUGAAAAUUUGCUCUAUUGUGCUUUUUUAGGGUUGUAAACUUGGUAAUCAUGAGACUAUUUAAGAAUGUAUUUGGAGUCUUUAUUUUCUCAUAUUUUAGUUUGAUGAAUUGUUGAGAGAUUUGAUAUUUAAAUGUUGUGUUGAAGGUUUGGUUUAUUAUAUUUGGAUAUAUAGUUAUGCUCUA